AUUCUGCCCAUGCGGGGAAGGAUGAGAAGCUUCGACUAAGGUUCGGCUCGAGCGUCAGCGAGAGAGCGUUGCCGCAGGCAACGACCCGAAGGGCGAAGCGCGCAGCGCUGA
rnacentral:sRNA from 1 species